AAAUCCCUGGGGUGUUUGUCAGUCGGUUGAUGUCCCCGAGCCGAUAUUAACACCUACAGGAAUCCUGCAAUCUGGUUAUUUGUGCAAGCUCGGCCCGACCGAGAAGCCUGCGGCCAGGCCAGGAUUCCGCCUUGGACCUACGGUUCAAGGGCCCAAACCGGCAACGGCACCUCCGGGGUACUC
rnacentral:other from 1 species